GCCAUACCUAUGAACCCAACAAAACAGAUCAAAAGAUAUCCUUUCUGCUCAGUUCACUGUCCAUCUGAAUUAUGGAGGUCCAAAACACAGACAUGUCUCCAUUGGUUCCUUGGUGUGGUUGGUGAUGUGUCUUUGUUUGUAAUGUAAAGCUGAUACAUAUCCCUGUUUAACUAUUUGACAGGUGCUCUGAGAAGAUGUGGAUGCAGCAGACAAAAGCAGAUCACAGAGGCUGCCCUCAUCCAUGCCUGUCUUUUGCCAUUCACAGAGGAGCUGUGACAUCGAAAGUGUUUGCCAAUGGUCCAAACCUAUCACCAGGAUUUUGGUCCAUCACAAUAUGAUGGUGAAAUCAUUGUCAUCUUCUCCAUCCAGACCUGAGUCAUGUAGCAACUGUAGCAUGUCAUGUCAUGAGUACACAGCAGCUGCUCACAUCAUAUUUUGGAUUUCAAGACCUCCCUCUCUCUUUCUUUCUCCGAGUUGUCUGCAACAAUUAAUGAAGUUGGGACAUGGCAAGAUCUUCUCAUUAGCUCACACCUACAAGUCCAUGUUCUUGAGCCAACAUGGUGGGACUUCAUUGGCUUGGUCUAAAGGUGAUGUGGUAAACCAAUUCUAUACAAGUCAGCUAAACAAAUUCUCAGUACUUUUGUCCAUUUCAUAUCCUUCUUUAGAUGUGGUUUGACAAAAUGCAGUGUGCUGUAUGUGUUGAUGCUUCCUGCAACAGGAGUGAGCUUAGUCUCCUCACUCAUGGAAAAAAGACAACAAGGAAAUGAAAUGUAAAAGAAGAAGAUGCAACAUCAUAUUAUUACUGAAUGAGAAGUCAACCUGAGGGAUGAAAUUGCAUGCUCUGAUCA